GGUGACAGGCUUAGUAAGGUUAAAUAGUCAGUGUUAAUAACGAGUAAGGUGACAGGCUUAGUAAGGUUAAAUAGUCAGUGUUAAUAACGAGUAAGGUGACAGGUUUAGUAAGGUUAAAUAGUCAGUGUUAAUAACGAGUAAGGUGACAGGCUUAGUAAGGUUAAAUAGUCAGUGUUAAUAACGAGUAAGGUGACAGGCUUAGUAAGGUUAAAUAGUCAGUGUUAAUAACGAGUAAGGUGACAGGCUUAGUAAGGUUAAAUAGUCAGUGUUAAUAACGAGUAAGGUGACAGGCUUAGUAAGGUUAAAUAGUCAGUGUUAAUAACGAGUAAGGUGACAGGCUUAGUAAGGUUAAAUAGUCAGUGUUAAUAACGAGUAAGGUGACAGGUUUAGUAAGGUUAAAUAGUCAGUGUUAAUAACGAGUAAGGUGACAGGCUUAGUAAGGUUAAAUAGUCAGUGUUAAUAACGAGUAAGGUGACAGGCUUAGUAAGGUUAAAUAGUCAGUGUUAAUAACGAGUAAGGUGACAGGUUUAGUAAGGUUAAAUAGUCAGUGUUAAUAACGAGUAAGGUGACAGGCUUAGUAAGGUUAUAUAGUCAGUGUUAAUAACGAGUAAGGUGACAGGCUUAGUAAGGUUAAAUAGUCAGUGUUAAUAACGAGUAAGGUGACAGGCUUAGUAAGGUUAAAUAGUCAGUGUUAAUAACGAGUAAGGUGACAGGCUUAGUAAGGUUAUAUAGUCAGUGUUAAUAACGAGUAAGGUGACAGGCUUAGUAAGGUUAUAUAGUCAGUGUUAAUAACGAGUAAGGUGACAGGUUUAGUAAGGUUAUAUAGUCAGUGUUAAUAACGAGUAAGGUGACAGGUUUAGUAAGGUUAUAUAGUCAGUGUUAAUAACGAGUAAGGUGACAGGUUUAGUAAGGUUAAAUAGUCAGUGUUAAUAACGAGUAAGGUGACAGGCUUAGUAAGGUUAUAUAGUCAGUGUUAAUAACGAGUAAGGUGACAGGCUUAGUAAGGUUAAAUAGUCAGUGUUAAUAACGAGUAAGGUGACAGGUUUAGUAAGGUUAAAUAGUCAGUGUUAAUAACGAGUAAGGUGACAGGCUUAGUAAGGUUAAAUAGUCAGUGUUAAUAACGAGUAAGGUGACAGGUUUAGUAAGGUUAAAUAGUCAGUGUUAAUAACGAGUAAGGUGACAGGCUUAGUAAGGUUAAAUAGUCAGUGUUAAUAACGAGUAAGGUGACAGGUUUAGUAAGGUUAAAUAGUCAGUGUUAAUAACGAGUAAGGUGACAGGUUUAGUAAGGUUAAAUAGUCAGUGUUAAUAACGAGUAAGGUGACAGGCUUAGUAAGGUUAAAUAGUCAGUGUUAAUAACGAGUAAGGUGACAGGUUUAGUAAGGUUAAAUAGUCAGUGUUAAUAACGAGUAAGGUGACAGGCUUAGUAAGGUUAAAUAGUCAGUGUUAAUAACGAGUAAGGUGACAGGUUUAGUAAGGUUAAAUAGUCAGUGUUAAUAACGAGUAAGGUGACAGGUUUAGUAAGGUUAAAUAGUCAGUGUUAAUAACGAGUAAGGUGACAGGCUUAGUAAGGUUAAAUAGUCAGUGUUAAUAACGAGUAAGGUGACAGGCUUAGUAAGGUUAAAUAGUCAGUGUUAAUAACGAGUAAGGUGACAGGCUUAGUAAGGUUAAAUAGUCAGUGUUAAUAACGAGUAAGGUGACAGGCUUAGUAAGGUUAAAUAGUCAGUGUUAAUAACGAGUAAGGUGACAGGCUUAGUAAGGUUAAAUAGUCAGUGUUAAUAACGAGUAAGGUGACAGGUUUAGUAAGGUUAAAUAGUCAGUGUUAAUAACGAGUAAGGUGACAGGUUUAGUAAGGUUAAAUAGUCAGUGUUAAUAACGAGUAAGGUGACAGGCUUAGUAAGGUUAAAUAGUCAGUGUUAAUAACGAGUAAGGUGACAGGUUUAGUAAGGUUAAAUAGUCAGUGUUAAUAACGAGUAAGGUGACAGGUUUAGUAAGGUUAAAUAGUCAGUGUUAAUAACGAGUAAGGUGACAGGUUUAGUAAGGUUAAAUAGUCAGUGUUAAUAACGAGUAAGGUGACAGGCUUAGUAAGGUUAAAUAGUCAGUGUUAAUAACGAGUAAGGUGACAGGUUUAGUAAGGUUAAAUAGUCAGUGUUAAUAACGAGUAAGGUGACAGGCUUAGUAAGGUUAAAUAGUCAGUGUUAAUAACGAGUAAGGUGACAGGCUUAGUAAGGUUAAAUAGUCAGUGUUAAUAACGAGUAAGGUGACAGGUUUAGUAAGGUUAAAUAGUCAGUGUUAAUAACGAGUAAGGUGACAGGUUUAGUAAGGUUAAAUAGUCAGUGUUAAUAACGAGUAAGG